ACACGGCGGCGGGCGCGGAGCUGCUGGAGCGGCGCGGGGAGGCGCGGCGGGAGGCGGUGCAGGGGCCGCGGCCUCGCCCGGCGAGGAGCCCCUCGCAGGGGAUCCCGAUGUCUCCAAGGUAAUAGGUGAUGAAACCACAGUCCUACUGAGGUUAGGAGGCUGCCCACCAAGCGUUUCCACAGGCUGCAAGAAGAGGAAAGCACAGCUUCCAAACAUGAGCCGUGGCAAGCCAAGGUGCUGAGGGCUGAGAAUAAGCACCUCAAGACCAUCUCAACCAUUAAGGCCAAUGGCAGGUGCAAGGAAGAAUUGACAAGGGUGUGAAUCACAGACCUGCAGCAGAAAAAGAAGCAGAGAUGGGGCAUAAAGAGCCAUGUUCAGGAGACCUGGGUCUGUUGUCACCUUCAAGUGAGGGUCAUUCUGACAGCCUAGGUCCCCCACCAAAAGCCCUGUCCCAGAAGGAGGUGAUCAAGCGCAGGUGCCGCUGCGGGCAGUGUGGGAAAGCCUUCUUGCAGCUCUGCCACCUCAAGAAGCAUCACUUUGUCCAUGCUGGCCACAAGCCCUUCCUGUGCACAGAGUGUGGCAAGCACUAUAGUUCAGAGGAGAGCUUCAAAGCCCAUAUGUGUGACCCUUCCAGUUCACCCAGUGUGACAAGGCUUACUGCACCAAACAAGACCUGUGGGCAUCAUCCGGGAAGGGGUGGGCUUCGGAGCACUUGCAGAAGUGGUGGAGGUUGAGAUUAGGAUCUUAUUGUCUCCACCUGCCCUGAUCUUCUUCUGUGCUAAUUAAAAUGGGGUAAAAGAAAAACCAA